GCAGCAAUGAAAGUUGUUUUAAGGUUUUGGGUUUUUUUUAAAAAAUCACGGUACAUUUUUUAAAGAUUUGAAAAAAUGAGCCCGCUCACUAUGUUCUGCUUCAUGGAGCAGUUCCAGUUAUUGAAGUCAAGAAGAUUGGAGAAUAAAGAUAUUUAACAUAGAAAGUAGACUGUAAGAAUGUCAUGGAAUGCACCAGAGGGCAGAAAAUAGUUAGGCUAAUAUUUGGAGGCCAGAGACCAGCGCAGACACCAGUAGCUGAUAGCUAUUAGCUUGAGCUGCUUGAGAAACUACAGAGUCUUCAGUCCUGACCAGUCAAACCAGAGCUACCUUGCGGUGUUAACAACUGGCGAGUGCUGGUCAGGUGAUCUAUCUGUACUUCUGGGCACAUUCAUUUUGACCAGACCCACAAUUUUUACAUCACAAACCAGCCGGGACACUCGUCUUCAUCCGUUUGACCACGCCUGUCUUUUCUGGACAUUCCCGGACAAAUGAUUUGCUCUAUUCUCUGCCCAGAACACAUCGACGCUUACUUUGCAGUUCUCGGGGGAACCCGUGCUCAAUAAUUCGCUUAUUAACCAGGUCUUCAAGACUGAUCGACUGAAGGAUAUAAAUAACUUCUGUUGUAUGUAAUGGGUGAUAUUUUCUGCUCACUUGUGGCUGCUAUGUUUUCAUCCUGUUGCCUUGGUGACACUGGAGAUUAAAUGCUUCAGAAAGUCCCAAACAUCGUUGUUGUAUUCAGUUGGCCAUUUCCACUGUUUGCUGACAGAAAACUGAGGU